CAGCACCUGCAGUAGGUCCCAGCUGCAGCAGUGCAGUCUCUGUGCAGUCCGACUAAGAGAGGUUUUUGUACGGCUCUCUAUCACUGUGUGAGCGGCGUGCUCAAGCCCUGCUGACAGUAAUAAUCUCCUGCAUCUUCAGCCUGGACUCCAGUGAUUUUCAGUGUGAACUGAGUCCCAGAUCCACUCCCACUGAAACGAUCAGGAAUCCCAGACUGGCGAGUAGUGGCACUAUAGAUCAGAAGUUUAGGAGCCUGACCAGGUUUCUGCUGGUACCAGUGGAGGUGGUUGCCACUGUAAACACUCUGACUGGCUGUACAGCUGAUAGAGACAGUGUCUCCCAGCUGAACAGACUGAGCUGUUGGAUCCUGAGUCAGAAUUCUGUCUUUCUCACCUUGUACAAGGAGUCCCAGCAUCACCAGCAGUAAAAAGUUUGACAUCAUCAUAAUGCUGCCUGUGUCAGUGUCUGUGAAAGGACUGGACAGUCACUGAUCAGUACUGGGGGUCUUAAAGUGUGUAGAGUAGUGAGGCAGGACAGGUAUGCAAAGCCCCUUCCUCUAUACAAAUCCUGUCACACACAGUUAGAGGAGCUCUGAUGUGUGAACAGCAGUGGGUCUGUAGAGGGCUGGAACACGUGCUGUUUUUACCCAGUUAAAUGUUUAAAUGUCAGUCUUACUGUUUGUGGCAUUGUAAUGUAUGGUUUUAGACAAAUAACUGGUGAAAACAGGCAUGUUGAAUGUGACUUAACGUGUAAAAUAUCUGUUGAAUAAAUUCACAUUGCCUCUUA